GUGCCAGCAGCCGCGGUAAUACAGAGGUGGCGAGCGUUGUUCGGAUUUACUGGGCGUAAAGGGUGCGUAGGUGGUUUCGUAUGUCGGAUGUGAAAGCCCGGGGCUCAACCCCGGAACUGCAUUCGAAACUGCGGGACUAGAGUACAGGAUGGGAGAGCGGAAUUCUUGGUGUAGCGGUGAAAUGCGUUGAGAUCAAGAAGAACACCGGCGGCGAAGGCGGCUCUCUGGAAUGUUACUGACACUCAUGCACGAAAGCUGGGGUAGCAAACAGGAUUAGAUACCCUGGUAGUCCCAGCUGUAAACUGUGUGCACUUGGUGUUGGCGGUAUUGACCCCGCCAGUGCCGGAGUUAACGCGUUAAGUGCACCGCCUGAGGAGUACGAUCGCAAGGUUAAAACUCAAAGAAAUUGACGGGGGCCCGCACAAGCGGAGGAGCAUGUGGCUUAAUUCGAUGCAACGCGAAGAACCUUACCUGGGUUUGACAUCGGAGAGGCUUGCCUCUAGCGCGUGAAAGCGCGUUAACCAGACAGGUGCUGCAUGGCUGUCGUCAGUUCGUGCCGUGAGGUGUUGGGUUAAGUCCCGCAACGAACGCAACCCUUAUGUUUAGUUGCCACCCCCGAGCAAUCGGGGCGCACUCUAGACAGACUGCCCGUUCAAGCGGGAGGAAGGUGGGGAUGACGUCAAGUCCGUAUGGCCCUUACACCCAGGGCUGCACACGUGCUACAAUGGUCGGUACAGAGGGAUGCUACACCGCGAGGUUACGCAAAUCCCUAAAAGCCGGUCCCAGUUCGGAUUGCAGUCUGUAACUCGACUGCAUGAAGUUGG
rnacentral:rRNA from 1 species